rnacentral:lncRNA from 1 species
ACUUACGUCUUCAACUGUGGUGUAGGGGCCGAAAGCAGGGAGAUAGCAUAGAGCAUCACUGAUAAACAUAAUUGCAGUAGAGCUUAAAAGUGCAUUCCUAAAGAGAACUCCGAAAGUGGAUCGUAAGCGCAAGUUGUACGCCAAGCUUACGAAAGAGAGUCGCUGCAGUCUUAACACAUGCAAGCGAGAGCGUGGGCUUAUCUUCAAAAAGAGAGUAAGGUAUUGAGAGCAUACAAUUUGCCCUUGACGUUUGACCGAAAUUCCACUCAAUGCAGCGAAAGAUCAUACGAUUGUCCCGUUAAAGCUCUUAAACGUCAUCAGAUCUUCGAGAUUUCUGUUCGGUACAGCCUAGCUUCACUGGGAUAAGUUUUGCUAGAGUUAUUAGCAAAGAGUCGAUCAACAAAACCAGACGUGAUUGUGGCAAAUCUUAUAUACGUAGAUAUAACCUACAAAAAACUUACAUAAUCCCUCGUGGCGAAGUUUUCUUGCAAGCCAUAAAUUCAGAGGAAUCUGUGUUGAUCUGUGCUAGUGCCUAGUGAAAACAAUAAUCAACCAAGGUAUGUCUGCCGUGAGCUAGGAAAGUGACCAGUAUAAUUUAUGCGAAUGAAGUUUAUAGGACAGAGGACAGGAGCCCUAUCUUUCUUAGCAGCCUAAGUGCGCAUAAGUGCAUAUACGGGGUGCUCCACGAGAGGCGUAUCACCGAAGUGAUCCCCCAAUCUACAAGGGGUAGAAUUCGAUUCCCCCCUCUUCUGCUCCGAAACGCCGAGCCCCGAAA